rnacentral:rRNA from 1 species
UACGUAGGGUGCGAGCGUUAAUCGGAAUUACUGGGCGUAAAGCGUGCGCAGGCGGUAAGUUAAGUCUGAUGUGAAAGCCCCGGGCUCAACCUGGGAAUGGCAUUGGAAACUGGCUUGCUGGAGUGUGGCAGAGGGGGGUGGAAUUCCGCGUGUAGCAGUGAAAUGCGUAGAGAUGCGGAGGAACACCGAUGGCGAAGGCAGCCCCCUGGGCCAACACUGACGCUCAGGCACGAAAGCGUGGGGAGCAAGCAGG